rnacentral:sRNA from 1 species
CUCAGGAGGAAAUCUCCAUCUGGGAUAUCCGAAUCCUCCCCAACUUCAAUGCCAGUUAUCUACCUGUCAUGCCGGAUGGCUCUGUGCUGCUGGUGGACAAUGUCUGCUAGUCACCAGUCUGGGGAAGUCUCCAUGGGCUCCUUCUGCCGCCUACCCGGGACCUCUGGCUGCUUCCCCUGCCCGCUGAAUGCCCUGGAGGAACACAACUUCCUGUUUCAGCUGAGAGGGGGUGAGCAGCCCCCUCCAGGGGCCAAGGAGGGCCUGGAAGUUCCCCUGAUUGCUGUGGUUCAGUGGUCCACCCCAAAGCUGCCCUUCACUCAGAGCAUCUACACCCACUACCGCCUGCCCAGUGUCCGCCUGGACCGCCCGUGUUUCGUGAUGACCGCUUCUUGUGAGUCCCCUGUUCGCACCUAUGAGCGUUUCACUGUCACCUACACGCUGCUUAACAAUCUCCAAGACUUCCUUGCUGUGAGGCUCGUGUGGACCCCGGAGCAUGCGCAGGCUGGUAGGUCAGCUGCCAGGUGGGGAUCUGGUCCCCAGGGAGGGGAAGGGAAAGGAAAAAGUCAGGGAGGAGGACAGUGAAAACGGCCAAAUUUGGUGCCAGCCCCAUCACAGGAGGCCACUU